UACAUCUCCUCGAGCUGUGUGGUUCAGCAUUUCUCAGGGAGCCCUUCCCCAGGCGCAUCAUGUGCUCUCGGGAGCUACCUUCUCCUCUUGUCUCCAGAAUGCUGUUCUGGACUGCUCACCGCACCACAUUAGGUAGCCAGACUGCUGGGUGUGGCGGCUGGUAUGUGGUCCCACCGCUGGAGAGGAUGGGGCAGGAGGAUUCUGAAUUCCGAGGCAGACUAGUCUACUACCCAGGAUCUGAACACAAAAAGGAACAAUCAGGUAACCCUAAGAACUCUUGUUCUUCCAUCACUCUAAGCCAUCUGGACCCUGGUUGCUGCUUCUGCUCCCUUUGCCCUCGUGGAUUGUCCUGAGUUUCUUUCUGCCCUGAGUUUCCUUCAUGAUGAACUCUAAGUGCAACUUCCUGUGAUGGUUGGUGCUGGGGAACUCUCUGAACCUAGGAGGAGAGCGAGGAUAAAACCUGUUUCUUGUGCUGUUCUGACAGGGGCUGCUUCGCCUUCAGAGAUUUUGUUCCAUUCUUGAAAAGCUUCGUGUAAAACCAUCGAUAGUCCAUUUGGUGAAAGUCCUCAAAGUCAAACUGGAAACAGAGGCGAGGUGUAGCUAGUGUAAUGGGGACCGAGUGGGGACCGAGUUGGAACGAGAAGGACCGGUGUCCCAAUCACAUGCUCUGUCGUUUUUAGUCAUUUGCCUGUGAGUAAAAUCUUCACCGUGAUGAAGGUCCAGCUUCUUUGUCAACGUGACUGGGUUUAGGAUCAACAUGGAAACACACCCCUGGAUGUGUCUGUGAGAGUGUUUCCAGAACACUUAAGUGAGAAUGAAGGCCUACCCUGAGUAUGGGUCCAGCUCUCCCAUAGGCUGGGAUCUGAUUGAA
rnacentral:sRNA from 1 species